rnacentral:rRNA from 1 species
UACGUAGGGCGCAAGCGUUGUCCGGAAUUAUUGGGCGUAAAGAGCUCGUAGGCGGUUUGUCGCGUCUGCCGUGAAAGCCCGGGGCUUAACUGUGGGCUUGCGGUCGAUACGGGCAUCACUGGAGUUCGGCAGGGGAGACUGGAAUUCCUGGUGUAGCGGUGAAAUGCGCAGAUAUCAGGAGGAACACCGGUGGCGAAGGCGGGUCUCUGGGCCGAUACUGACGCUGAGGAGCGAAAGCGUGGGGAGCAAACAGG